AAUUUAAUUUAUUUUAUGGCGAUUUUGAGUUAUACUGUGAGAGUUUUUAAAACCCUCAAAUAUUAUUGUGUUAUUGCUAAAAUAUUUAAUUACCUUAUUUUAUUUUUAAUCUUUUCGUACCAAAAAAGAACGCGGAAAAUUCUCCCUCUUUUUUUUCAUUUUAGUAAAUUUCUACCUCUUCUGAUUUCAAUUUCUAGGUUUUCUCAUUUAACUGUAGCUAAGCAGCACUCUUCUCUCAACUCAAUAUCAUGAAAUUGAGAAAAGUAAGCUAAAGGAAAAGUUUCUCUCUAUAUUCUUGUCGAACCUCAAAAACCAAAAGACCCUUGACGAGCCUCGAUUUUUUUUAGGACUACGGAAGCCAUCACAUACAAAUCUUAUACUUCUAGCAUUGGGAAGAAAUGGGCUACACGUAGACUAAGGGCGUAUGAUGAAUUUGAUGAUCCAGCCAAAAGUAUUAAUGAAUUGUUAAAUAAUGUGACAAAAGGUAUAAAAAAAGAUCAGUGGGCUAGUCAUAUUGCUUAUCGUAAAAGACCAUCAACAAUUGCGCUUCGCAAAAGAAAUAAAGAAAUCUGAAGCAAGCAAGAAAUUCCACACACUGGAGGCUCAAAAUCAUUGGCAAGAAGACGACAUGAGAUACAGGAGUAAAACCUAGUCGGGGACAAAUGUUUCUCGAAACUCAUAAAAGAAAAACGGAUCAUUUGUAAAUGAAGAGACAAGAAUUAUAGGGGAAUAAAUUGAGCCACAUGUGACUCAAUGUAAUGAAUCUGAAGCUUCCCCUAGUGAUAUUAUUGGCAAGUUGUUUGGGGAAGAGCACUCAGGAAGGGUACGAUGUUUAGGUAUGGGAGCAGUUCCUUCAAACACAUUCAGGAAUACCAAACAACUCCUUAGUAAUCUGAAUGUUUCCUCAUCUAAUGUUGAUGUGUCAUCCUCAACUGAUACCUAUUUGCACCAAAAGGUCUCUCGUUUAGAGUACCAAUUAGAAGGAGCUUUGUACACUUUGAAGAGUUACAUGAUAUCAAAGGAAGGAAGUGUUCCUGAUGAAUUUAUUGGAUUAUUUACGCCUCAACUAUAGGUAAGAAGUAAGUGUACAUCUAAGUAGAUGAUUAUUAAUAGAUUUUUCAUCAAAUAUUUAUUUCUUUAUUUCAACCGAAUGAUGUUGAGAGCGAGCCUACUUCACCAGUGGAUAUAAGCGGAUCAACAAGUGGCAACGAAACUAAUCGUCUACAAAGUACUUAAUUUUUAUGUUGUUUAAAUUAUGGAAUCACUUUUGUGGAUUUAUAUUACUCUACUGUUUUACAAAUAGUGAGUUAAAUUUUGAAAUGUGGUAUUUGAAUUUAUGUGAACUGUAGUUUGGGAUAUGGUAUUUGAAUUUAAGUUAACUGUA